rnacentral:ncRNA from 1 species
UUCAAUGAAAAGUAAAAAAUCUUAUCAAAGCUUGACAUGUUGCAAUCCUCUCGAAAGAGAGGGGUGUCAUUCGGAGUGCGGGUAUAGGUGGUGCAUGAGUAUUGUUAACUCGUGCCGUAAGGUGUUGGGUUAAGUCCAGUAACGAGAGCACCAAACAACUCUUCGAUAACCUAAGGUGAUUUGACCCCUUCGACAUUUUUUUUCCGUUUUAUAUAUCUCCUUUAUCAUUUGAG